rnacentral:rRNA from 1 species
CAGUCGCCGCGGUAAUACGGAGGGUGCAAGCGUUAAUCGGAAUUACUGGGCGUAAAGCGCACGCAGGCGGUUUGUUAAGUCAGAUGUGAAAUCCCCGAGCUUAACUUGGGAACUGCAUUUGAAACUGGCAAGCUAGAGUCUUGUAGAGGGGGGUAGAAUUCCAGGUGUAGCGGUGAAAUGCGUAGAGAUCUGGAGGAAUACCGGUGGCGAAGGCGGCCCCCUGGGAUAAUACUGACGCUCAUGCACGAAAGCGUGGGGAGCAAACAGGAUUAGAUACCCGAGUAGUCCCUGUCUCUUAUAC